GUUUCGGUGAUGGACGAACGCUGAAUACAAAAAGUAUUUCAUGAGACCAUAUACACUGAUUUUAACAACAUUCAAUAAACUAAAACAAUAAAUGUGAACCCAAUCAAAAAAGAAAAGUUUGAGUUUUUCUGAUGAGAUUGGUUUAAGAGGAUUGAGAAAGAACCCAACAGCCAAAAUUCGAUAUACAUAUAUAUAUUUUAAUAAAUAAAAAAUUCUUUCAAUUUUAUUUUUGGUUUUUUAGUUUUUAUUUUUUGUUUCCAGGUCAGAAGUUGAAUCUGUUUAGGAAGGCUUUUCGUUUGUGGUUGAUGUUGGGUUUUGUUCGUCCGAAUCUUUGGGUGCGAUGAUCGUGAGGCAAUAUACACUGUGAUUUUGAGAUUUGAGAUUUUGCAUUCAGGAGUUUGGGCUUUGCUUCUCUACUUCUUCUGCGUCCUUUACCACCCAAGAUACAAUAAUUGAUUUGGGGAAAUGGGAACCCUUACGAAAGAAGAAAGUAGUUAUGCGAGUUGGCUAUGUUGGCUUACAAAUGCAACGAGACGAGCAUUCAUUAUCCAGUAAGCUUAAUUCCAUUUCGUGAGAUUGAUGCAUUGUUCGUUAUUGUUUUUUUUGUUGCUACAAUUGUGGUGUCUUUAUUGGGGGGAAAGUAUGGUGUUUGUAUAUGUUUUUUGUAUUGACCAGAGUCAUAUAAUUCAUUCAGCUUAAAGAUUGGUGGAUUGGGGUCUUGCUAAACAAGCAUUAGAAUUUUGAAAUGUAGCUAUAGAAAAAGAACUGGAAAUUGCCAUUUUUAAGGCCGGUGGUAUUCGAGAUAGUAAUUAUGGAAACUUUCCGAAAAUUGCAUGGGCAAGCAAUAGCCGAACUGAUGAAGGAGUUUUGAGAAUGAUCUUUUAUUGUUUGGUGUUAAUGAAAGCUCAUGUGUAAUGGUAAUAGAAAGAGAUUGAAUUGCAGAGACAUUAUAGAUCUACGCGUUCCCUAAAGGUUUUCCCCAUGAUUGGAGGCGCAAGUAUUGUAUUAACAUUCGUCUUGGACUGGUUCAGGGCGGCUAAGGAUUUCACUUACUACCUUCAUGACUAGAAAGAAGAGGGUCUAUUCUGUCAAAGUAUGGGAAUUGAAUUAUGAUAAUAACAAUGGUGAUGAUGGGAAGACCAGCUCAUGGAGUUUGGUGCAUGAGUUUGAGAAGAGGGGAAUUGGUUUUAAGUCUAAGUAUGUGGUUGUGAUGGCUUUCCAUCCCACCAAUGGUGAUGUUUUGUUCAUUCUAUUUGACAAUAUUCAUGUUUACCAAUAUGAUAUUAGGGAAGACAAGAUGGAAAAAUUUUAUCAGUUUCUAGAUGAUCCUGGCUAUCAUGCUUUUGGAAUUCGCCUACAACACUUCCCUAUUGUCUAUCCAUUUUGGCCAACUAAAAUUCCUGCCCUCACUUCCUCUCCCAUUGUCUCAGCUCUUGAUGUUUGAAACUUGUCUGUUUUUUUCAAUUAUUUGUGAUAUAUUUAUUUUUGUUCUAAUAACUUAAUUAUGAUACUGUUAGUAUACAUGAAUGUAUGUUUUAUGGUCCGUUUAAUUUAAAUAUAUAGUUUGUGCUUA